GUUCAGUGUGUAGGAAGAAGGUGAUCCAGCAUGAAGGAACGGAGAACACCUGCUGCCAGCAAGCUUUUCUCAUUUAAACUGGUGAUAAUCUGGUGGGUUUCUGAUCCAGGAUCCAAAUGCCUGCUUCCGAAGUGCACGCCAGGCCUCCUGGUCUCACUGGACAGCUCACCACCAUUGCCAGCAGGACACCUGAGCAAUCGACUGGACAGAUUUAUUACAAGAGACUUAGGAACAGAAGGAUAUUGUUAUGCUGUCCUAGAGCGACUCUUAUUUCUCUGUAAGGAAUUCACCAGAAAACAACAUGGAUUAAAAGAGGUAAGAAUAAGCAGAAUGCUAGUUUGGUCUGGUCCUGGUGGAAUCAGAUAAAAGAAGAACAACUGUAUCUUCCUCUUGGUUUUGUAGUUGUUAUUUCCUUACUUUUGCUUUUUAGGGCUGUACCUGUGACAUAUGGAAAUUCCCAAGCUAACGGUUGAAUCUGAGCUAUAGCUGCCAGCCGAUACCAAAGCCAUAGCAACUCAGGAUCCAAGCCUCGUCUGUGACCUACUGCUCACAGCAAUGCCGGAUCGAACCCGCAUACUCAUGGAUACCAGUCGGGUUUGUUACUGCUGAGCCACAACAGGGACUCCAGAACUGCCCUUCUUCAUGGCGUAUACACUCACGGACGCCCCUGGUUUACCUGGGACAAGGCCAGACACAGACCCUCCGAACGCCCAUUCGUUGUCUCAGGAUUACUGAACUGUUCAUACCCACUGACAGCAUCUCGACAAAACCUGCUAACUUAGCCAAAUAUUAGUUAUGCUUCUCUCCUUUCCCCAGACCCCGAACUGCGAGGCACCCUUGGCCUGAGCCACCAUGAGCACGUCUAAGAACCUCUUCCUCACGGCCCCUCCUCAAAGUCAACAUUUCCUGUUCAACGGUCAUCAAAGCACCCGCUCAUCCAUCCUGUUCUCAUUCCUGGUUCUAACUUAACCUCUCCGUGUACACACCUCUGCUCCUGCUAUUAGAGAGGCUUACAGAUCUUGAGACUGUGGCACUCCUGCAAGUGCAUGAGUCCUCCUCUUCCUAUUGUCACAGGCCCCUUCUCUUACUGCAAUAAUCCUUUAUUUAUUAUUUAUUUA